rnacentral:rRNA from 1 species
AACGGCCGCGGUAUCAUAACCGUGCGAAGGUAGCAUAAUAAAUUGUUCUCUAAAUAGGGACUAGUAUGAAAGGCACCACGAGGGCUUAACUGUCUCCCUUUUCCAAUUAAUGAAACUGAUCUUCUCGUGAAGAAGCGAGAAUUAAAAUAUAAGACGAGAAGACCCCAUGGAGCUUUAAACUUCUCAUCAUUUACUUUUAAAUAUACCACCACAUACAGUAAAAUUGUUACCUGAGAGUUUUCGGCUGGGGUGACCCUGGAGCAAAACAAAUCCUCCAGGAUGAAUGGAGUAAAAUUCUAAUCUAAGAGCUACAGCUCUAAGAAUCAAAAUAUUGACAUAUUUGAUCCAAUUACUUGAUCAACGAACCAAGUUACCCUGGGGAUAACAGCGCAAUCCAUUUCAAGAGCCCCUAUCGACAAAUGGGUUUACGACCUCGAUGUUGGAUCGGGGUAUCCCAGUGGCGCAGCCGCUACUAAAGGUUCGUUUGUUCAACGAUUAAUAACCCC